UACGUAGGGGGCAAGCGUUAUCCGGAUUUACUGGGUGUAAAGGGAGCGUAGACGGCAUGGCAAGUCAGAUGUGAAAGCCCGGGGCUCAACCCCGGGACUGCAUUUGAAACUGUCAGGCUGGAGUGCAGGAGAGGUAAGCGGAAUUCCUAGUGUAGCGGUGAAAUGCGUAGAUAUUAGGAGGAGCACCAGUGGCGAAGGCGGCUUACUGGACUGUAACUGACGUUGAGGCUCGAAAGCGUGGGGAGCAAACAGG
rnacentral:rRNA from 1 species